rnacentral:rRNA from 1 species
CCCUUAGAUGUUCUGGGCCGCACGCGCGCUACACUGAUGCAUUCAACGAGUCUAAAACCUGGUCUGAUAGGGCUGGGUAAUCUUUUGAAAGUGCAUCGUGAGUGGGAUAGAUGAUUGCAAUUCUUCAUCUUCAACGAGGAAUGCCUAGUAAACGCAAGUCAUCAGCUUGCAUUGAUUACGUCCCUGCCCUUUGUACACACCGCCCGUCGCUCCUACCGAUUGAAUGAUCCGAUGAAUACCAUGGAUUGAGAGUACGAAUGGGUUCGCUCAUUUCUGCUGCUCGAGAAGUGGAGUAAAUCUUAUCAUUUAGAGGAAGGAGAAGUCGUAACA